AUGGGGAAGACAGAGCCAACACCGCCGAUGCCCACGGGCCACUUCAGUCAGGCGCCUUCCAUUCUUCCUCCCUUAGGAUUUUCAAUCCAAGGUGAGCGGUUUACUAAAAUUGUAGCCAGUCCAUACUACAUGCUCCCAGAGGUAUUAAAGCACAACUAUGGCCCUGAAAUCGAUGUCUGGAUUGUAGGAGUUAUACUUUACGUACUUCUUUGUGGUGUGCAAACAUUUUUGGAAGAUUCUGAACAGGUCAUAGCACAAGCAAUUAUGAGCUCUGUGAUAGAUUUUUCAGGACCCCGAUUCUAUGUCACACCGAUCUAA
rnacentral:rRNA from 1 species